GACCAGCGUUGGAAGUGACAUUUUUAGUGCCUUGCAUGUUCUUUGUUGUUUGGGAUCGAAACCAUUACGUCUCGACUUUCUUAUUAUUAUUAAACGUGUCUUUCCGUUCGAUGAAUGUCAAGUAAAGAAAGUAAUUUGACUUCGGGACUGGCCACUCGUGCAUAUCCCCUACAUUCCGGCACUAGGUGGUGGCAGAGGAAAGGUUUUGAAAGGGAGCCUCUGUGUUGUCAUGACAGAUAUGGAAGCUAGCUGAGUAAUUUCGUUAAACGUUCACUAAAAAUUAAAAUGACGACCAUCAGCAAUCGAGCAUUGGAUAGACUAUACUCUUUACUCCUCCUGGCUGUCGUGGUGCUGUCCUGGACCUAUGUCAUCUAUGGCAGCAGGAUAGCUGCCCAGUGGCAGUUGGAGAAGACUCUUAACACCAAGCUGCACCAGUGAAGCUCUGGGUUCACCACCACUUCACAGUCCGUUGUAACAGUUUCUGUAGCCUGGCCAACAGUACCCCAGAUACUGGCACACCACAUCAUAUAACCCACAAACUACGUUUUUUAUAUUGCUGCAGUAUACUGCACUUUAUUUCACAUGUAUUGGCACUAUGUCGGUCUGUUCUUAUCUUCUAUAAACUCUGCUCAUAUCAUGUUAUCGUAGGAUGUUCGGUAUGUUCAAAUUUGCAUGUACAGUCGUAUGAAAAAGUUUGGGAAACCCUCUGGGGCUGCAUAAUAAUUCACUCUGUCGUCACAGAAAAUUAUCACAGUAGCAUGCCAUUCAUUUUCUAAUAAAAGCUGAGUACUGGUUUGUUGAUUUGAA